rnacentral:misc_RNA from 1 species
UCUCCGUUGGUGAACCAGCGAGGGAUCAUUACCGAGUGCAAACUCAUAACCCUUUGUGGACCUAUAUCUGUUGCUUCGGCGGCUCGCUCUCGGGCGAGCCCGCCGGUAAUAUCAGUAUCUCUGUUUGAACCCGACGAUACUUCUGAGUGUUCUUAGCGAACAGUUAAAACUUUUAACAACGGAUCUCUUGGCUCUA